rnacentral:rRNA from 1 species
CCCAAAACUUAGCUUAACCCAUUCUUAAUAUUAACCCAACUCUUUAACAAAUUAAUAAAACAUUUUACACAUUUAGUAAAGGCGAUAAAAAAAUGUCUAAAAAGCUAUAAAAUUAGUACCGCAAGGGAACAGUGAAAUACUUAUGAAACAACUUCAAGCACAUAAAAGCAGAGCUAUAACCUCGUACCUUUUGCAUCAUGGUCUAACUAGUCUAAUCAAGCAAAACGAACUUUAAGUUUGACCCCCCGAAACUAGGUGAGCUACUUAAAAACAGCCUUUUGAGCAAACCCGUCUCUGUUGCAAAAGAGUGGGAAGAUUUUUAAGUAGAGGUGACAGACCUACCGAACCUAGAGAUAGCUGGUUAUUCAGGAAAAGGAUUUAAGUCCUACCUUAGGUUCUUUGUACAAUACAAUACCCCUUAAACCUUAAGAGCUAUUCAAAUAAGGUACAGCCUAUUUGAAACAGGAUACAACCUAACCCAUAGGGUAACUACCCCAAUUAUU